AUGGACAUAUGCAAGCAUUUCGAGUGCAGUAACGUCAGGCCUAAGGACUUUGUCAAGUUCGCUUCCUUCCAACUCAAAGACCAAGCUGCAGAAUGGUUUCAGCAGUACAAAGAUUCCAUAGGAGGUCGUGUGAUUACCUGGAAUGAAUUCCGUCAAGACUUCAAAGCUCAUCAUAUUCCUCAGAGUGUGGUUGAAAGCAAGCGUGAGGAAUUCCGCAACCUGAAGCAAGGCUCUAUGUCUGUUUACGAGUACAACAAGAUGUUUCAGAAGCUCGCCCGUUUUGCUAAGCAAGACGUCCCUGACGAGAAGAGCAAGAUAUACCAGUUCAGGGGUGGUCUCAAAGAAGAAAUCCAGCUAGCUCUCGUCCUCUUUGAGCCCAAGAGGUACGAUGAGUUUUACAACAUGGCAAUGAAGCAAGAGAAUGCUCAACUGAAGUGUGAUGCUUCCAAGAAGCAAGUCAGAGAUGCCAUUCCUUCUUCCUCAACUCAAGUGGCUAAGCAGCAGAAGUAUUGGCUUCCUCCUCCUCCGUUCCGUCAGCCUUAUCAGUAG
rnacentral:rRNA from 1 species